CCUACGGGAGACAGCAGUGGGGGAUAUUGCACAAUGGGGGGAACCCUGAUGCAGCGACGCCGCGUGGGUGAAGGAGUGCUUCGGCAUGUAAAGCCCUAUCGGCAGGGAAGAAGCAAGACGGUACCUGACUAAGAAGCCCCGGCUAACUACGUGCCAGCAGCCGCGGUAAUACGUAGGGGGCGAGCGUUAUCCGGAUUCACUGGGUGUAAAGGGAGCGUAGACAGCCAUGCAAGCCAGGGGUGAAAGCCCGGGGCCCAACCCCGGGACUGCCCUUGGAACUGGGCGGCUAGAGUGCGGGAGGGGCAGGCGGAAUUCCUGGUGUAGCGGUGAAAUGCGUAGAUAUCAGGAGGAACACCGGCGGCGAAGGCGGCCUGCUGGACCGCGACUGACGUUGAGGCUCGAAAGCGUGGGGAGCGAACAGGAUUAGAUACCCCGGUAGUC
rnacentral:rRNA from 1 species